rnacentral:antisense_RNA from 1 species
CGAUUUUUCCUACAGAAGUGUUAAAUACUUUUGUGUGAUAUU